GAGGAUAUGGCUCAAGUGGUAGAGCACAUGCUUAGUGUGCAUGAGGUCCUGGGUUCAAUCCCAGUACCUCCU
rnacentral:tRNA from 1 species